GUGAGAGACAGGUGAGAGACAGGUGAGGGACAGGUGAGGGACAGGUGAGAGACAGGUGAGAGACAGGUGAGAGACAGGGGAGAGACAGGUGAGAGACAGGUGAGGGACAGGUGAGAGACAGGUGAGGGACAGGUGAGAGACAGGUGAGGGACAGGGGAGAGACAGGUGAGGGACAGGUGAGGGACAGGUGAGAGACAGGGGAGAGACAGGUGAGGGACAGGGGAGAGACAGGUGAGAGACAGGGGAGAGACAGGGGAGGGACAGGUGAGAGACAGGGGAGAGACAGGUGAGGGACAGGUGAGGGACAGGUGAGGGACAGGUGAGAGACAGGUGAGAGACAGGUGAGAGACAGGUGAGAGACAGGUGAGAGACAGGUGAGGGACAGGUGAGAGACAGGUGAGAGACAGGGGAGAGACAGGUGAGAGACAGGUGAGGGACAGGUGAGGGACAGGUGAGAGACAGGUGAGAGACAGGUGAGGGACAGGUGAGAGACAGGUGAGAGACAGGUGAGGGACAGGUGAGAGACAGGUGAGAGACAGGUGAGAGACAGGUGAGAGACAGGUGAGGGACAGGUGAGAGACAGGUGAGAGACAGGUGAGAGACAGGUGAGAGACAGGUGAGAGACAGGUGAGAGACAGGUGAGAGACAGGUGAGGGACAGGUGAGAGACAGGUGAGGGACAGGUGAGGGACAGGUGAGAGACAGGUGAGGGACAGGUGAGGG